UCUCUUAAAGUAAAAUAUUACAAUUUAAUUUCGACUUAAAUAUCUGAUUAAUUAAUCUAAGAGAU
rnacentral:tRNA from 1 species